rnacentral:lncRNA from 1 species
UUUUUGAUUGUAUGAAACCGAUUACUAACCUUGCUGCAAUAGAGCCCCACAACAACCCCUUUUUAUCGCCUAAAUAGUCCCAAUAUAGCAGGAAAAUAACAAAUCAUCCCAAAAUUUAAGAAUUUCAAUGAAAUUAAUGAUAACUUAUUUUGUUUGAGUAGCAUCAACAACUAUUUAUCUUCUAAAAAGUUUAUCACAACUUAUCGGUCCUGCAAAAAAUGGGAAGCAACCACAUUCAUGCCCCAUGCACGAACAAACAGGACAAAGUCUCUUGAUAAUUUGAUGGAAAACUCGCUCUUCUGCAGGUAACCUGAAGCUUUACAUUUGUUUCAUUUGGAUUUCAAUUAAAAAGAAUAUUUACUGAAAAAAUCAAAUAAAAAUAUCAUUUCUUCCGAUAAGUUUCAUUGUAAAAAAGAGCAUAAAUACAAUAUUGAAGAAACCUUUGCAAGCCAUGUGUAAGCACCAGUAGCAAGCAAGCUUGAAACAGAAUAACAGAAACACCAUUAGGAGAGUUGCAAAGAAACAAUAGUACCAAAACAGUAACAUCUUAGCGGCAACAAUAAUAUAUUAGUCUUGAAUCCACAACCACUUGUGUCACUACAUAGCACAUUCUAUUUUUCAUAUUCUUUCAACAAAUGAGUUUUUUCAUACUAAUUUGAUAAAGUUUUCAAAAUCAUGUGUUGUAAUUUGAUAAAAAAGUACAUACCUUUUUGCAAAGCCCAAGAUAUAGUAGGAGCAUCAUAUGACCAUUUUGAGACCAUGCCUACAUCACCCGUCAAAUUCAUUUAGCCUCCAUUGAAUUUUCAGCUACACAGUUUCUUUAGCGAUCUGAUCGUUAUUGCCAUUGUCCACAACAUCUGAAAAAUCUCAAGACAAAUCAUCAUUCGUUUUCAUUAAAAAAAUCAAAAUGAUACGUCAUCCACAAGAUUAACAUAACAUGUCAAGUGCUAUAUGACCUGGUAUAUCAGCUCCAUCCCUGCCAUACAAUACCUGUUAAAGCAUAUGGCAGAAACUUCAUUAAAAAAACAUAAAACAUCAUGUUUUGUAAAUACAUGCUACACAAACCUUGUACAAAAAGGACUAAAACACAUGGCAUGAACUCACAACAAAGAUGCUCCUUCAACAACUAACACUUACCUCUGUUUCUCUUCAACUAAUAGUAAAAUAAAACACAACCGACAGAUGGAUGGACGUUUGAAAAAAAAUAACCCUAAAAAUGGGCAGACUUUUAAGAGAGAGCAAGCUAGUAAAAACAUUUGAGAUAUAAAAUUUAAUUUUUAGAUAGAUAUCAGGGUUAGAGAAAGUGAGAGUGGUCUAAUGGCGGUGGAAACAACAGAUGGGUUAUUGGUAAAAAUAUUAAAAUUUAAUUUUUAUAUAAAGAUGAUAAAAAUAAAGGAUUUGACCAAAAGUUAUGUAAAAGCUUACCUGGAGUGAACGAUCCAUGGCCUCCAAAGAGCAAGGAUGUCGGUUUGUUCUUCACAUAUGAAGGAUCGAAGCUGAAUCAUAGAAGCAUUUCAGAGGUGAUUUGGACACAAAUUCAAAUAAACCCAAACUAAAAAAAGAAACAAACAUUCAAAAGUUAGGUUAACUGAACAAUCGAUAAAAUAUAAAUAUGUGACUUGAGCUUCCUCGUUUCUAUUAGACGAUGGGUGAGCUGAGACAAAGAAAGAAAGGGUGAAUGGUGGUGUCGCGUUUACCUUACGAUUACGAUGGGUGGAUGAAAGCGGUCGGUUUAGCAGCAGCGCAAUAGCGAUGGUUGGUGGUGAGUAUCCACA